UACGUAGGGUGCGAGCGUUGUCCGGAAUUAUUGGGCGUAAAGAGCUUGUAGGCGGUUUGUCGCGUCUGCUGUGAAAAUCCGGGGCUCAACCCCGGACUUGCAGUGGGUACGGGCAGACUAGAGUGUGGUAGGGGAGACUGGAAUUCCUGGUGUAGCGGUGAAAUGCGCAGGAUAUCAGGAAGAACACCUAUGGCGAAGGCAGCUCUCUGGGACGGUACUGACGCUGAGACGCGAAAGCGUGGGGAGCGAA
rnacentral:rRNA from 1 species